UCGGCGUGGGACGCCUGACCAGUGCAGACAGGUAGUGACAAAUGUUUCACGCCCCUUCUGGGCAUUUCUUCAGACUCCUGUAUAUUGUACAUUCAUAAAAGGAUUGAGCACCCGGGUCGGUACGGACGGCAUUACCUCACUACUCUUUGCAUUGCCAGCACUUGGUCGUGUUAGAGCUCAUAGAACAUUAGGGGAUUGCUGCAGCUGUGCCGGUGCUGUCUCUACGUUGUUAACUAGUCUUUUAGUGUUGAGCGGCAUAGGCCAUAUUCGAAUUCGCGAUAUUUCACGAGUAUAUGGCCGAAAAUUCAUCAUAUGUUCGCUAAAUUCGCAUAUUCGUAAUAUUCGCGGUUUAUUUUCGCAUAUCGGAAAAUUCGUGCAUGCGAACAUUUGCAUAUGCGAAAAUUUGCAUAUGCGAAAAAUUUGCAUAUGCGGAAAUUUGCACGCCAGUCUCACACAGUAGUAUUAGAGCCUUCUUUACACCACACAAGCUGGAAGCAGAGAGGGAUGAUCACUGUGAUGUGUACUGUGGAAAAAAAAAAAAGAAUAUUCGUAAUUACGAAUAUAUAGUGCUGUAUUCGCGAAUAUUCGCGAAUUCCCGAAUAAAAUUCGCAUUGCGAAUAUUCGCGAGCAACACUAGUGAUGAAUCUCCCCCAUUGAGCCUGCCAGAGCCGCAGUGAUCUGUGUAAGAAACCUAUGGGCCCAGGCUGUUAGGGUCGCCAAAUGAUAUUACAAAUACUGAGUGUCUGGUUAGGAGAAACAAAUAUAAUGUACCCACAGGGAGUGAGCCAUUUUUAUAAAAAUUGCCAAAAAUCCCUGAGAUAAGUCAUGCAGAAUAUAUUAAAAAGCUUUUUGGAUUUUCAGCCAAUCAGAAAGCAGCACUACUCAAAUAGAACUCCCGUGAGGUCACACAUGUGAUGUCAUAACCUUUGUCAUCAGUGAGGGGCCUAAACUGUAGGAACCUAGGAAUACACAUUCAUACCCGCCUGUGACUGAUGCACACUUUCCAGGCUGUGGGGCAGCACAUACACGGACACAUUGGCCCAAAUUCUAGAGGUAACCUCCUUUAGUAUGCCCAGAGGAAGGGCAGUACAGUAGCCAUGGAUUCCCUACAGGUUUCCUCCCCUCUGGAGGUUUUUCCUGUCCUGAGUUAGUUACUGUCCGCUCUUUGUGAGUGAUGGAGGUUACAUAAAAUCCCUACACAAACAUUUUACUAAAUAAUUAAUAAAGUUCCCCUUUGUUUAAACUGUU